UGCCAGCCUCCGCUGUACUACUGAUUUUGCAAGCGUUGUUCGGAAUUACUGGGCGUAAAGCGCGCGUAGGCGGCUUUUUAAGUCAGAUGUGAAAGUCCACGGCUCAAUCGUGGAAGUGCAUUUGAAACUGGAAAGCUUGAGUAUCAGAGGGGAUGGUGGAAUUCCCGGUGUAGAGGUGAAAUUCGUAGAUAUCGGGAGGAAUACCGGUGGCGAAGGCGACCAUCUGGCUGAAUACUGACGCUGAGGUGCGAAAGCGUGGGGAGCAAACAGGAUUAGAUA
rnacentral:rRNA from 1 species